rnacentral:lncRNA from 1 species
UGGACUGAAUUUCAAGUCUCCAGCCAAAAGACUCUCUUGACUGAAGACUUGGGGGACUACUGUUUAUACCAUACCUAGGGCAUCCGUAUUUAGACCUCGUAUAAAUACUCGGGGGACUCAAAUGUAAUUAUGUAAUAAAUGAAGGGGCAAAUAUGUAAAAAGGGGAGGAGCCCUUAGUCUAUAAAAGGGUCUCUUCACCCUUACAAUCCACAAGCUCUCAGAUUCAGAGCAAGCCCUAUCACCCUCUCAAAGCCCCACUCUCACAUUACAGAGGCUCUUUCCCUCACAAUCAUCUCAGAGAAAUACAAUAUCAGUGUGGACGUAGCCCAAACAUUAAGGUGAACCAUGAUACAUCUUGUGUUAUUUACUUUCUUGCAGAUUCACGGUCGGAUUUACGUUGUUCCAAGGCCCCUCCGAUUUUGUGCAUCAACAUUAAUAAAUAAUAAACAUAGGGAAGUAUUAUUGGCACUCCAAAAAUAUCAUUCUACACUUCUCAUAAGUGUAUUUUUCUUUCCCAAUAUAGAAAGUUUGGAGUGUAGAAUGAGAUUUUUUAAGUGAUAAUAACAAUUCCCCAAACAUAUCGUUGUCAUAUGUAAUAGUUAUUCUAUUUAUCUAUUUAUUAUUUAUUUUUUGUUCUUUUUGUUUUUAAAUCUAAACCUAUAGUCGUUGUUGGGUUUUUAGAAUGAUUUAUGCUCUCUUAGACCUACUGGAUAAGAACUCGACAUCUCGCUUGCGUCUAACUGCAAGUUCCCUUCACGUACCUACUGAUGUCGUAGUUACCAUACGAAGAUUUCAUUUUUUGGAAAACUAAUGAAAAGUGUUUGAAAACUUUGAAUUUUAAUGAUGAGGACAAAAUAAAGGGUAAAGUGAAUAGUACCAUGAUUGACUUUUUAGUGUAACAAUGUGAUUUUUCGUUAAAGUGAACAGUACCGCAGACUUUUUAUUAAAACUCCCUUGAUUUUUCUAAUCCAUUGACCUCAAUAAUUAAGGGUUGUUACCAAAAGGACAAAUGUAGCAUCACUCAAUUAAGAAGUGGGCUUUAGUGAGUAAAGGGGAACGAAUAUAAUCUCCCUGGUUGCUUUUCUAACUUCAAUCACAUGGUACAUAUUCUGAUAUAGGAUGAUUUCUUUUCGAUUUUUAAUACAAGCAAUAUUUGGAACAAAUAUUUUAAGGUGUUCUAGAGUAUGUGAUACAACAGAAAUAUUUUGAUUUUUAUAUUAAAAAAAAAUUAAACCUUAAAACACUUAAGAGUAUCUCAUACUCUAGGAUACCAUAGAAAAUUUCUUAGAAAGCGAGGAAUUGAACUCUAGUUCAAGUGUCGGGGUGAAUGUCCUGAACAAAUUGAGUUAUAAGCCUCCUGCAUAUGCAUGUUUCUUUUUGUUUUACUCAUCAAAUUAUAUUUUCAUUAAUGACAACAAUUAUUGUGGAGCAAAAACUAACUCAAUAAAUUCUAGAUCUAACAUGUGAACUCUUAUAAAAAAAAAAAAGAAAAAAAAAAGAUGAGAAUGCACUUAUUAAAUUGGCAAGGCUCACAUUUAAUCCACGUGCAGUUUAAUAUCCUUGAAGUUUGAAGUCUUAAAGAUGAGAUUAAUUACAAAACCUUAUCUUUAUGUUUUCCUAAUUGAAGGUCAACUUCAUCAAGUAAGGAACCACAAUCAUAUCCAAUUAAGGAUAUUACAAGAUAAUCUCAAGAUAUUAUUUAUUAAAUAAUAUCUUCGGGAUAAUUCUUUUCUCUUUCAUUCAAUGGAUGAUUCACCUUGACCAAUCUUAUGCCGGCAAAUGUUAGAGUAAAUGAUGCGUAAAAUAACUAAACACACAAAUUAAACCCUCUUUUGUCAAAUUGUAGUAAAGAUGUAAGUAGGGAUCGUUCUAAACCGGGGAUUAGGA